rnacentral:rRNA from 1 species
GAUGAACGCUGGCGGCGUGCCUAAUACAUGCAAGUCGAGCGAACGGACGAGAAGCUUGCUUCUCUGAUGUUAGCGGCGGACGGGUGAGUAACACGUGGGUAACCUACCUAUAAGACUGGGAUAACUUCGGGAAACCGUAGCUAAUACCGGAUAAUAUUUUGAACCGCAUGGUUCAAAAGUGAAAGACGGUCUUGCUGUCACUUAUAGAUGGAUCCGCGCUGCAUUAGCUAGUUGGUAAGGUAGCGGCUUACCAAGGCAACGAUGCAUAGCCGACCUGAGAGGGUGAUCGGCCACACUGGAACUGAGACACGGUCCAGACUCCUACGGGAGGCAGCAGUAGGGAAUCUUCCGCAAUGGGCGAAAGCCUGACGGAGCAACGCCGCGUGAGUGAUGAAGGUCUUCGGAUCGUAAAACUCUGUUAUUAGGGAAGAACAUAUGUGUAAGUAACUGUGCACAUCUUGACGGUACCUAAUCAGAAAGCCACGGCUAACUACGUGCCAGCAGCCGCGGUAAUACGUAGGUGGCAAGCGUUAUCCGGAAUUAUUGGGCGUAAAGCGCGCGUAGGCGGUUUUUUAAGUCUGAUGUGAAAGCCCACGGCUCAACCGUGGAGGGUCAUUGGAAACUGGAAAACUUGAGUGCAGAAGAGGAAAGUGGAAUUCCAUGUGUAGCGGUGAAAUGCGCAGAGAUAUGGAGGAACACCAGUGGCGAAGGCGACUUUCUGGUCUGUAACUGACGCUGAUGUGCGAAAGCGUGGGGAUCGAACAGGAUUAGAUACCCUGGUAGUCCACGCCGUAAACGAUGAGUGCUAAGUGUUAGGGGGUUUCCGCCCCUUAGUGCUGCAGCUAACGCAUUAAGCAUUCCGCCUGGGGAGUACGACCGCAAGGUUGAAACUCAAAGGAAUUGACGGGGACCCGCACAAGCGGUGGAGCAUGUGGUUUAAUUCGAAGCAACGCGAAGAACCUUACCAAAUCUUGACAUCCUUUGACAACUCUAGAGAUAGAGCCUUCCCCUUCGGGGGACAAAGUGACAGGUGGUGCAUGGUUGUCGUCAGCUCGUGUCGUGAGAUGUUGGGUUAAGUCCCGCAACGAGCGCAACCCUUAAGCUUAGUUGCCAUCAUUAAGUUGGGCACUCUAAGUUGACUGCCGGUGACAAACCGGAGGAAGGUGGGGAUGACGUCAAAUCAUCAUGCCCCUUAUGAUUUGGGCUACACACGUGCUACAAUGGACAAUACAAAGGGCAGCGAAACCGCGAGGUCAAGCAAAUCCCAUAAAGUUGUUCUCAGUUCGGAUUGUAGUCUGCAACUCGACUACAUGAAGCUGGAAUCGCUAGUAAUCGUAGAUCAGCAUGCUACGGUGAAUACGUUCCCGGGUCU